rnacentral:rRNA from 1 species
AUUGAACGCUGGCGGCAGGCUUAACACAUGCAAGUCGAACGAGUGGCGGACGGGUGAGUAAUGCUUGGGAAUCUGGCUUAUGGAGGGGGAUAACGACGGGAAACUGUCGCUAAUACCGCGUACCAUAGGAUGAGCCCAAGUGGGAUUAGGUAGUUGGUGGGGUAAUGGCCUACCAAGCCGACGAUCUCUAGCUGGUCUGAGAGGAUGACCAGCCACACCGGGACUGAGACACGGCCCGGACUCCUACGGGAGGCAGCAGUGGGGAAUCUUCCGCAAUGGACGAAAGUCUGACGGAGCAACGCCGCGUGAGUGAUGACGGCCUUCGGGUUGUAAAGCUCUGUUAAUCGGGAGACGGUACCGGAAUAGAAAGCCACGGCUAACUACGUGCCAGCAGCCGCGGUAAUAC